GGGGAAUUUUGGACAAUGGGCGCAAGCCUGAUCCAGCCAUGCCGCGUGUCUGAAGAAGGCCUUCGGGUUGUAAAGGACUUUUGUCAGGGAAGAAAAGGCUGUUGCUAAUACCAGCGGCUGAUGACGGUACCUGAAGAAUAAGCACCGGCUAACUACGUGCCAGCAGCCGCGGUAAUACGUAGGGUGCGAGCGUUAAUCGGAAUUACUGGGCGUAAAGCGGGCGCAGACGGUUACUUAAGCAGGAUGUGAAAUCCCCGGGCUCAACCCGGGAGCUGCGUUCUGAACUGGGUGACUCGAGUGUGUCAGAGGGAGGUAGAAUUCCACGUGUAGCAGUGAAAUGCGUAGAGAUGUGGAGGAAUACCGAUGGCGAAGGCAGCCUCCUGGGAUAACACUGACGUUCAUGCCCGAAAGCGCGGGUAGCAAACAGGAUUAGAUACCCUGGUAGUCCACGCCCUAAACGAUGUCAAUUAGCUGUUGGGCAACCUGAUUGCUUAGUAGCGUAGCUAACGCGUGAAAUUGACCGCCUGGGGAGUACGGUCGCAAGAUUA
rnacentral:rRNA from 1 species